GCAAACUUGGUCAUUUAGAGGAAGUAAAAGUCGUAACAAGGUCUCCGUAGGUGAACCUGCGGAGGGAUCAUUAACGAUUUACGGUUCUACCGUUAUCUACCUUUGUCUAUGCGUACUACUUGUUUCCUCGGGGAGCCCGCUCCCCAGGACACUUUAUCAACCUUUUUGCAAUAGCAGUCAGCGUCUGAUUUAUAAGUUAAUAAUUAAAACUUUCAACAAUGGAUCUCUUGGUUCUGGCAUCGAUGAAGAACGCAGC
rnacentral:misc_RNA from 1 species